GUUUUAAUAGUUUAAAUCAAAAUUAUGAUCUUGUAAAUCAUAGAUAGGUUAACCAACCUUUAAAACU
rnacentral:tRNA from 1 species